CCUACGGGAGGCUGCAGUGGGGAAUAUUGCACAAUGGAGGAAACUCUGAUGCAGCGACGCCGCGUGAACGAUGAAGGCUUUCGGGUCGUAAAGUUCUGUCCUAGGGGACGAUAAUGACGGUACCCUAGGAGGAAGCCCCGGCUAACUACGUGCCAGCAGCCGCGGUAAUACGUAGGGGGCAAGCGUUGUCCGGAUUUAUUGGGCGUAAAGGGUUCGCAGGUGGUCCUUUAAGUCAGAUGUGAAAGAUCACAGCUCAACUGUGGUAAGCAUUUGAAACUGAAGGACUUGAGUUAAGGAGAGGAAAGUGGAAUUCCUAGUGUAGCGGUGAAAUGCGUAGAUAUUAGGAGGAAUACCAGUGGCGAAGGCGACUUUCUGGACUUAUACUGACACUGAGGAACGAAAGCGUGGGGAGCAAACAGGCUUAGAUACCCGUGUAGUC
rnacentral:rRNA from 1 species